GAAACAGGAAUGGGACUGGAGGAGGGGUGGGGGUGGGGUGCAGCUCUCAGUGAAUUAGGUCUUUUCUAUAGAUUCCAUAAGACUACAUAAUGAGCCGCUUUUUCUGCCUCCUGGUCGCUCAGCUACUGCUCUGACCUCCCAGGGGCCAGAGGAGGGGGUCAACCCUCCCUGUUAAACGUGCUCUGCCUUUGGUUACCUGGUGUUGCUCUGGGAGGAAGACCAGCUUCGGGAGCAGGCUGUUGGGGUCUGCUGCAGAGGGUGGAAUACGUGCAGCCCAGCCGUCCUGCCUACCACACCCCUGGCAAGGAGCUGCACCUCGCUGAGCUCAGUUCCCCCAUCUGUAAAGGAGACCAGAAUAAUCCCAGCCUCACGAGGCCAUUGCCAGGACUGAGGGAAACUAUGCUAAUGACUGCCUAGGGUCAACUGAGUAAAGCACUCAGUUGAGGACAACCAUUAUGAUUUUUCUGAUUUCUGGCCAAGGACCCAGCACAGCCUACACCUGAAGCAUGCGACUAAGAGUGUGACCCCGGUUCUAUCUUGAAGCACACAAGAGAAGUUCUUAACUAGGGACAAGGUUACGAGGUGGACUUGCCUCCCCCAGCUCUCUCAUCCCACCGGACCCCUCAUUGGAAGCUGGUCGCUCCUUCAGAUGCCUGUGGAUGGAUGAAGCUGCAGCGUGUGCCUUGCAUAAGGGGAUGUGGUUUCUGGGGAGCUGUACUGAGGGUGUUUUGACAGGGUAAGGAUGAAGAAAUCG
rnacentral:lncRNA from 1 species